rnacentral:lncRNA from 1 species
UCCUGAUUGAGGCUCUGAACGCCCCUGUCAUUCCUCCUUAGGGCAAGAGACCUGUCUAUUAUAUUCCACUCCAGCCAAGAGGGCCGAGUAAGGUUGUAUGGGAUGUAUAUUACACACAGGCACUGCAUGUGGAGAUUUCUGUUCACACCCUAAAUAUGGCCAACUUGUCUAUUUAUUGUGACGUUCUGGCUGAUAUAGGUCAAACCUCUGAGGAAAGGGAACCUUGUUUUAAUUCAUACCGAGGCCCUAUGUGGACUGGCUAUGUGUGCCCUGACCCAGCCUGAAGCUCGGAAUGAGCUUGUGGUUCUGGGGACGCACCUCUUGUCUGCCCGUUGCCCCCACUUCCUUGGUCUCAGCUGUCCCCUUCCUGGCAGGUGUGGGACUCGAGAUCUUCAAAGGAGGGGCAGCCCUCGCUGCAUGUUUUCCCUCAGAUCUUUUGCAGUUCUACCUGAUGGCUCCUUCUAGGAAGCUACCCAGAGGGAGAACCUUAGAGGCCUCUGGAGGACUGGGGUUGAUGUGGCCCGCCUUCCUCCCCACCCCACCCCACCCCCGACCCCUGCACUUUCCCCUCCCCAUUCCUUCCGCUUCCUUCAGUUUGUAAAGUUGGUGAUUAUAUUUUUGGGGGCUUUCUUUUUAUUUUUUAAAUGUAAAGUUUAUUUAUAUUCCGUAUUUAAAGUUGUAAAAAAAAAAGCCACAAAACAAAACCACGUGAAUCUUC